rnacentral:lncRNA from 1 species
GGCCUCGGCCUAGGGCGCAGAUGCGGUGCGCACCGCAGGGGGGCGGCGUGGGGUGCGGGGCCAGUCCCGCCGGGCACGGGGUCCUGGUCCUCAUCCCCUUCACCGCCGCCGCCCGCCUGGGCUGGCGUUUCCCCAGCGAGAGCGCGUAGUUUGCGCAGCGCCCCUCGCCCACGCCGCCGCUGGGUCGCGGGGCGCGCCUACCCAGAGCCGAGGUCCCGGACUCCCCGGCCAUCGCGACCCUUCCGGGGACUCCUCGCCCCUUCGCGGUGGGACCAAGGCCCGGGUGGGGCCGGGACAGGGUGGUGGGGGGAAGGGGGACCGUACAAAAGCAAACAGAAACCACGGGGGGCUCGCCGCGACGCCCAGUCCGAGGGCCUCUCGCCUGGAAGAGGGAAGAAACCCACGUCCUGGACGCGGGUGUGGGGUCUGUCCCGGGUCAGGACCUGUUGUCUCUGCGACGUUGCCAGUCCGGAGAGCUCGGAGGGCCAAUGCAGCCCCGGAUUCAACAAGAUGCGAAAGGACUUCUAAAGCCAGGAACCGGCACCCAGCCACGGCCACCGCCCGCCGGCCCGGCGCCCUGCCCCCACUCACUGCGCCCCCAAGUUCCGGCGCCGCGGGCUGCAGGGGUGACUUGGCUCGGCGUGCCUCGGGGCACGAGGCUCGGCCCCGCACGGCUCUCGGGUCCCGGGGGGCUGGGGUGGGAAGGGACAUGGCCGGCGCGCGGCGCUGGGGAGCCGGGUGCGCCAGGCUGGGGACCUUGCGUGGGGCAGGGCUUGGCUCAGCCGAGGGGCCGCGGCUCAGCCCCCCUCACCGGCCUUAAAGGUUCCCAGAGACGCAAAGUCGGACGCGGGUCCUGAGCGCGGAGCUACAGGGGGGAGCAUGGGGCAGCCCCCAAGGCGCGCUCCCUGCAUUUCCCACCCUUUCCACGCUGCCCUGCGCGCACGGUCGGGCGCCCUUGGGGUGGGCAGGGAGGCGCGGGCAGGGGCAGCGCCGAAGACCUCCCGCCGCCAUGGAGAAGGGGCUCCCCACCCACCCUCCUGCCCCAACCAUUAUAGAUCCCAGCCAGUGCGCCCCGCGCCCUUCCGGGACAAGCUGCCCCCAGGACCACCGUGCCCCAGUAUCAAGCGGACAGCAAAUCUCUCGGUGGCUCCUUUUGUAAGGGUUUCUGCCCUCAGGGUUGUUACGGGACAGAAAUGGUUUCAUCAGAAACAAGCCCUCCUCGCACACUCACAGUUUGCAGGACUCCGAACUGGGCCCGCGAGAUCUCCACCUGCGCAAAACGAAAGGGCGGAUUCUCCUUGGACUCACGAGGCAACCGCUCCCCGGGGUGAGAACGGGGGACUCAUUCCUCCGGCACUGGGAGAAGACGAUUCUUUAGGAGGAGGACAGGGAAGCGAAUGCUACCCAGGUGCGUAAUCACAUUUGGGCACCCUCGGGGGCCUGAGAGGAGGCCAGGGGUGACCUGCCCCCAUUCUCACAGGGGAGGGGCGGUGAGCCUAUUCUCACAGGUGUCUGUGAUGAGCCCAUGUUUUCCAAACUCCUCCGUGAUUCUAGAACAGUGCUAGAGAAGCCGUGAGCCAGCUGGCAGAGCCACCAAAAUGCCUGGACCUGGGCAGCUAACAGUGGGAUGAAUCUGCUUUAGAGACACCAGACUGCCAGCUAGAGAAUUGAAAUAACCUGAUUCUUAUCUAUUUUUCCAUCCAGAGAGGGCACACCAAGGCUAGGCCUCAUUUUUUUUUUCUUUAAACAUUUUUGUGUUGACAAAUAAUGUUUUAUAAAGGCCUCACUAUCUGCCAAACUGUGUCUCACUUCUCCCCAGCCCUGCCAGGUGUGGGGACACCGAACCCACCCAUAUCUCCUCUAGAAUCCACCGAGCACUGAGAUAGCCACAUCUCUAACCUACACCUUUAACUUACAAGCCACAGUCAAGAGGGCUUUGGAGAAAGGGAACCACAGAGGUAGCACGGACAAGCCUCCACUAUCUGCCCCUGGCGCAGGACGCCCACAACCCCAG